UGAGGAAUAUUGGUCAAUGGGUGCAAGCCUGAACCAGCCAUCCCGCGUGAAGGACGACUGCCCUAUGGGUUGUAAACUUCUUUUGUAUAGGGAUAAACCUACCCUCGUGAGGGUAGCUGAAGGUACUAUACGAAUAAGCACCGGCUAACUCCGUG
rnacentral:rRNA from 2 species